rnacentral:lncRNA from 1 species
GUGGCAAGGUGGUACAUGUACAGGAGGAUACUCUCCGGUGGCAGGGUGGUACAAGAGGGUACUAUCUGGUGGCAGGGUGGUACAGGAGGGUACUCUCCGGUGGCAGGGUGGUAAGCUCUCGUUUUACAGCAGCCAAGCAGGCCAAGAGAUAGGUACUUAUUGCUUAUUCCUUGCGUGUGUGAUGCCAGCAUUAGAGACCUUAAGGUUGAAAUGGCGAAGGAUGCUUCCUGUAGGUUGCUAAAGUUUACAUUUCAAAAAGUAUCCUGAAGCGGAAUUUAUGAUGUGGGAAGCAUAUAAGACGAGUAGCCUAUAGGCCCAUACAUAUGUCCAUAGUCCAGGGCAACGGAGGGGUUUACCCUGGGGCCGUGUCACCCUCCUGCUGGGUAGGAACUUACAAGGGGGUUACCAAAGGGCUACCGGGGGUUGGGGUAACCCAUGGGUAACCCAUGGGUUACUGACCCAAUCAGUGCCUUAGGGAUAGCUGUAGGGCACCCUGCAUUAAUCUCUAAAUUCCAUGACAUCUUGCUCCCAUUAAGACAUGUCUUAAUAUUGAGAUGUACAUCUCAACAGUGAUUCCCUUUGUAGCAGCCGACCGCUGAAAAGGUCUCUCGAGUUGCUGGCGGUCGCGCUCUGCGCGUAUUUAUAGCACCGUACUGUGUACCGGUUGCUAUAUUCCCCCCCCUUUGAAGGGAACCGUCCCGGGCCCUUAGAGCCUCGUAUACCGCCAGCCUGUGCCUACCUUCGCCUACCCUCGGGCAGUGGGUAAUUACUCCACGUCACGUCAUGUGCCGGCUCACAUGCGCCUAGCCGUCUUCAGAUUUUUCAGGCACAGAGACAGUCCAGUCGGUUCAGCUACUUUAAAGUUUGUGCGAUAUUCGCUCUCUGAGUCGCCAAACCCGAUUUCCACUCAAGCGUGAUUGGUGGGGGUUGAACCGACGACUUCAGGAUCGUGAAUUUUCACGAGGUCUCGAUACCAAAUGUAGCAGCCGACCGCUGAAAAGGUCUCUCGAGUUGCUGGCGGUCGCGCUCUGCGCGUAUUUAUAGCACCGUACUGUGUACCGGUUGCUAU